rnacentral:rRNA from 1 species
CUACGGGGUGCUGCAGUGGGGAAUAUUGCACAAUGGGGGAAACCCUGAUGCAGCAACGCCGCGUGGAGGAUGACACUUUUCGGAGCGUAAACUCCUUUUAUAUAGGAAGAAGAUGACGGUACUAUAUGAAUAAGCGCCGGCUAACUCCGUGCCAGCAGCCGCGGUAAUACGGAGGGCGCAAGCGUUACUCGGAAUCACUGGGCGUAAAGAGCGUGUAGGCGGAUUAAAAAGUCAGAAGUGAAAUCCUAUAGCUUAACUAUAGAACUGCUUCUGAAACUCUUAAUCUAGAAUAUGGGAGAGGUAGAUGGAAUUUCUGGUGUAGGGGUAAAAUCCGUAGAGAUCAGAAGGAAUACCGAUUGCGAAGGCGAUCUACUAGAACAUUAUUGACGCUGAGACGCGAAAGCGUGGGGAGCAAACAGGAUUAGAUACCCUCGUAGUC